rnacentral:rRNA from 1 species
GACGAACGCUGGCGGCGUGCUUAACACAUGCAAGUCGAACGCGCCUGUCCUCUGGGUUUCUGGGGGGUGGGUGAGUGGCGAACGGGUGAGUAACACGUGAGUAACCUGCCCCCUUCUUCGGGAUAACGGUCUGAAAGGGCUGCUAAUACCGGGUAUUCACUGGUCUCCGCAUGGGGUCUGGUGGAAAGGUUUUUUUCUGGUGGGGGAUGGGCUCGCGGCCUAUCAGCUUGUUGGUGGGGUGAUGGCCCACCAAGGCUUUGACGGGUAGCCGGCCUGAGAGGGUGACCGGUCACAUCGGGACUGAGAUACGGCCCAGACUCCUACGGGAGGCAGCAGUGGGGAAUAUUGCACAAUGGGCGCAAGCCUGAUGCAGCGACGCCGCGUGAGGGAUGGAGGCCUUCGGGUUGUGAACCUCUUUCGCCCGUGGUCAAGCCGCGACGUGGGUCGUGGUGAGGGUAGUGGGUAAAGAAGCGCCGGCUAACUACGUG